CCCCAGUCUCUAUAAAAGACUCUCCCUGCCCCGGCCAUAUUGCUUUUGUCUCUCCUUUGUUCAGAGACAGCCCGGCAGAUCUAUUCCCCUAAUAAAGGCUUGCUGUGGCCUGGUCUGGUCUUGGUCUUCGGCCCUUUUACCUGACACCGGUGACCACAUUUUAUGACACAACAGUUUUCAGCCUGUGAAAAUAGUCUCUCGGGAAGAGAUGUGGAACUGUAAGAGGUUAUAGUGUCCUAUCUGACAACUUGCAUGUUUGCAUUAACCCUUUACAUUCAUACAUCAUUGUCUCCUGCUCUGUUGCUCAUAAUCCCCAAGACUCUUGAGAAGUGAGCAGGACUGAAAGGUGCAUCGCAUGGAGUGUAAGUAAAGAGCUUAUUGAGAGUGAGAAUGCAGUUGAUUUGGUUUUUUUUAUGGUACUGGGAAUUGAACCCAGGAUCAAUGGGCUGCCUCUCCAGUCCUUUUAUUUUUUAUUUUGAGACAAAGUCUCACUAAGUUGCCCACACAAGACUCAAACUGGUGAUCAUCCUGCCUCAGCCUCCUUCAGAACUGGGUGUUUUAAAUUUUGUUUUGUUUUUUCAAUCCUACUCCAUUUCUCUUGCUAGGAAAUGACAUUAUUUUAUUAUAAUUUCUCAUUAUUUCCUACAGGAGCCAGCCCCACUGAUUUCAGAGGGCCAUCUAGGGAAAGGUGAAAGAAAUAUGCAUGUUAUCCUAUACACAGAGGGCCUUCCUCUGUCUAAAAGUAAUGCUUGUCCUAGCAAGGCCUUAGUCUGUAUGUGUUCCCAUGUGUGUGAGCUGUUCAGGGAUUACACAUACAUUUUAAAAUAUAUCUAUCAAAAAACCAAUCCAUUGAUCAAUCAAUCAUGUGCCUAAAUUUAUUUUGAAGGUAAGAAAAUGCAUAGUCAUACAUUAAUACCUGUUACUUGGAUUCUUAUAAAUUAGCAAUGUUUUUAAGGAUUCAGGGAGGGGUUUUUGACAGAAACAAAAAUCACUGACUUAAUAUUUGCUUAUAGAUCCAACAAUUUUUAUGAGCUUCUACACACUUGGUAGAUAAUGUACAAGGUAUCAAGAUUGUAAUAUGUAGUCUCUAUUCUCAUAGCUGCUUCUAAUCAAGAAUAAUAUAUUCAAUAUUUCUGUUAGGAGUAAAUUACUAUAUAAGAAUUUCCAUUCAAGCAUAAAAUCAUGUGUCAGAUGGCUAUUACAUCCUACGAGUGCCCCAAGAAGGGGAAAAUAGUGUGUUCUAGAAAGGCAUCUCUGUGAAGGAGCAGAGAAUUGGCUACACCUCGAACGAUGAGGAACAUUUAAACAGGUACAACAGUGGUAGGAGUGAGGUGAUGAACCUGGUUUUAUGUUGUUACUAGAGAAGCUGGACCUGAAUUAAAGUUGAGCAUGUAUUAUCUCAGAUACUUCUGAACCUGGGAGAUGAAGGUGGUUUACCCUGCUACUCUGCUACGUGGUCUGCUUAAGAUGCACUGCCUCGCCACAGGCCAAACCAAAGGGGCCAAUGAAAAUGGGCUGGAACCUCCAAAAGUCUGUACUUGGAAAGGAAACAGCCCCCAGAGACCCUCCUUGUGAUUUCCAGAUGGCAGGAUGCCUCCUAUUAGUAGGACCUAACUGGAAGCCAACUGGAGAAAAUGCCCAGUGAGUGGUCUGUCAUUUGUGGACUGCCCCCCCCACGCACUUUGCCAGCCACAGUAUCACAAAGCAAAGAACAUAGAAGGACAGGUCUCAGGCUGACAGACAGAAGAGAGUGGGAUAAAUAACCAGCAGAGUUUUAUAUGAAUGGCAUAGAAUUUUAGUUUUCCAUGAGUCUUCAUCUUCAUUGACUUCUUUCUAUGCAUACUUUGGAUUGCAUACUUUGAUAAUUACAUAUAUUAUGUACUUUUUUUGGAGUGGGCAAACAGAACAAAACUGUCAAUAAUCACUGAGAUGAAAGCUGUCAUGAAGUAACUCCCACAGCAGAGACUCACCUGCAAGGUCACAGGACUGCUGAAGGGGCCUUAGGGAGCUCCAUGGAGUUCCUGGGAUCUAAAUGGGACUUGCAUAAAGAAAGGGGAGGACAGGAGAACACAGGGUCAUGGGUGGGGACUCGAACAGCAGAGGUGAGAAAUGCACAGUAGAUUCCGAGAACAGCCAACACAGCCACAUCCAGGGCAGCAACUCUGCCCAACCAGCCCCCACCCCUAAGCAAGAAUGCAGACAUCCUCCUGACACCAAAUGGACCUCACUGCUCCCUCCUAGCCCAGCCAGACCCAAUUUUACAGAACUUUCUUGUUUUAGUUUUCUUUUUAAAGUAGACUGCCUCCUAAAUACAAAAUGUGUCAUAGUUCCAAAAGUGUUUUUGACAAAUUACACUAGUCCUACACUUAUAAACUAGUGAAAUAAAUUGCCUAAGUUAUUUUGUCAACA